rnacentral:rRNA from 1 species
UUCGGAAUCACUGGGCGUAAAGGGCGCGUAGGCGGCUUUAUAAGUCGGGGGUGAAAGCCUGUGGCUCAACCUCAGAAUUGCCUUCGAUACUGUAGAGCUUGAGACCGGAAGAGGUAAGUGGAACUGCGAGUGUAGAGGUGAAAUUCGUAGAUAUUCGCAAGAACACCAGUGGCGAAGGCGGCUUACUGGUCCGGUUCUGACGCUGAGGCGCGAAAGCGUGGGGAGCAAACAGG